rnacentral:rRNA from 1 species
UACGUAGGGUGCGAGCGUUGUCCGGAAUUAUUGGGCGUAAAGAGCUCGUAGGCGGUCUGUCGCGUCGAUCGUGAAAACUCGGGGCUUAACCCCGAGCCUGCAGUGGAUACGGGCAGACUAGAGGUAGGUAGGGGAGAAUGGAAUUCCCGGUGUAGCGGUGAAAUGCGCAGAUAUCGGGAGGAACACCGGUGGCGAAGGCGGUCUCUGGGCCUUACCUGACGCUGAGGAGCGAAAGCGUGGGGAGCGAACAGG